rnacentral:lncRNA from 1 species
UCUCUCAGGGAGAGUGACUAGUCUCGAGUCAAUGGUGUGUGUGACAUCAAGACAAGUACGUAGGUGCUCAAUAGAGAAUGAGUUCACUGAACACGAUCAACGAAGAGUUCUCAUAUUCAUGUCACAUGAGAACUCAUUGUUGGGAUAAUGCAAAUUAGUCCUUUGACUUGAGGCAUAACAUUUGUCUUGUGGUUAGGUCCUUGAUCUUUGAUUAUGUCAAAGUCACCCCAUUCGCGGGUGUCCACGACAUCGUUAGGGUUAAGCUACUUAGCCAUGGAGGCAAGUGAAUGCGCAACAAGGGAUCUCUAACCUUCAAACCGUUUGAGGGAGAAUACUCUAUGAUAUGAUUAAGAAUCUUUGGCCAAAGUAUGAAUGAGAUUUAGGAAGGCGUUCCAAAUCACAUUCAAGGUAAUCAUAUAAGCACAUAAAUCACAUUGGAUAGUAGACAUGAAUAAACUAUCAAACCAAACAAUGUGGUCAAGAGUAUUGUAUUAGAGAAAGACCGUAUUGCAUUUGUAAUCCUAAACUGAAUAGGUUCUCCACCUCUUCUGAUUAGCUUGGGUAACCAUGAUAUGCUGCUAAGUGUCACUCAUGGUUUGUGGAAGCCCUAAACGUGUAUAAUCACUAAAGGGAGAAUUGAAAGUAAGUUUCAAUUCACAAUCGAUUUGAAAGAGUUUUAAUCGCCCACUGCCUCGCUAAAAGGAACCUAAUGGAUCGUACACCGUGUAAGGUGGAGAUUGAAGAAACAAUGGAGAUGAGUAAGAAUAAUUAAAAAGUUUAAUUAUUUAUGGCAAGGAUUAAUUAAUAUGUUAAUUAAUCAAACGAAUAAGUUCGUUAAAGACCUCGGGAUAGUUUUGGACCUUAAGGCCCAAUGGGCUUCGAACGUCAAGCCCAUUGACUUAAGUUGUAUGACAAUUUAAUGAAUAAAGAUCCACAAAGGCCCAAAAGCCCAAAUCCCUAAAGUGGCCGGCCAUGUUUGUUGAAUUAGGGUUUUUGGUUCUUUAGGUCAUUUAAAGAAGUGACUAUUUAAAGAACUUUAUAGCCUAAAAUUCAUAAGGGGUUCUUUUGGAGAAAAUUGGAGAGAACAUGUCUCUCCUUUUCUCUCUAGGAGGCCGGCCCCCUUGGAGGGUGUAUCUAGCCAUACUACUACUCCAAGGUCACUCAUUCCUUCUCCAAUCUCUCCUUGGUGUGGAGACUUAGAGGUUCUCAAUUUUGGGAACUUGGAGAAACCUUUUCAUCCAUCCAAAUCCAUAGAUUUUAGAUGCAAGGAAUGAAGGCCCUCUUUGGGUGAUUAGCCUUUGCUUAUGCAAAGAGGAAUCUUGAUAGGAGCAUAUUUAUGCGACUUAGUUGGCUUGUUCUUAAGCAUUUAUGUUGUUUUU